GUGGGGAAUCUUGCGCAAUGGGCGAAAGCCUGACGCAGCCAUGCCGCGUGAAUGAUGAAGGUCUUAGGAUUGUAAAAUUCUUUCACCGGGGACGAUAAUGACGGUACCCGGAGAAGAAGCCCCGGCUAACUUCGUGCCAGCAGCCGCGGUAAUACGAAGGGGGCUAGCGUUGCUCGGAAUUACUGGGCGUAAAGGGCGCGUAGGCGGACAGUUUAGUCAGAGGUGAAAGCCCAGGGCUCAACCUUGGAAUUGCCUUUGAUACUGGCUGUCUUGAGUUUGGGAGAGGUGAGUGGAACUCCGAGUGUAGAGGUGAAAUUCGUAGAUAUUCGGAAGAACACCAGUGGCGAAGGCGACUCACUGGCCCAAUACUGACGCUGAGGCGCGAAAGCGUGGGGAGCAAACAGGAUUAGAUACCCCUGUAGUCC
rnacentral:rRNA from 1 species